AAAAAAUGUUUAUUUGGAAAAUUAUGUAAAGUCAAAAUAAUGCAGUUUUGUCUAUUAUUUCCUUCAUUGAAGAUACUUUAAGUAAGCCUGAGAUAAAGACUUUAAUAUAUUCCAGUGAUCAGAAGUUCUUCAGUAAUGUUAAUGUAAAACGGAUCAAGAAUUAUGUUAAAGACCUUUACGUUUGUGUAGAAUAUUUCCUCUUGAGAAGGUGGUCAAUCAGUCUGUUCUCAUUUUAUAUCUCUUAGCAAGCCACAUCAGUAAGUGAUGUAGAAAGGAAGGAGGGUAAAAGACCCUGAAUGGAAGAAAUUUUGGUCUAAAAUUUUAAAUUGCAUGUAAGGUAUGGAAGUAUUCCACAACAUAUUCAUUGUGCAUUAUGCUUUUAUUUUCAUUUUAUUCUCACAGAAUCAACCUUAACGUCUACAAACAAAGCAGUGGAGAAAAGGCUGGUAAUGAGGGUCAUCAUUAAUGUACCAAUUGGGAUGAAGCCUGAGGACUCAAAUAUAGCUGAUGUCAUCUUAAAACAGGUCAUGGAUAAACGUUUGAUGCACAACAUUACAGCAAAGUGGAAAACAAAUAAUGGAAAUAUUUUCAUGAUACCAAACACAUCAUAAGAAUGAGAGCCAUUGUGAAAUUUACAUUUGGACUAUAUGCUGUUUCAUCCUUGGUCAGAUCUGCAUUUCUUCAUAGGUGGCUUCUCAGAUGUCUGUAUUCCAUUAAUAAUGCAUACACCUCUUGUGGGAUUUUGAAUAUUUACUAUCACAGGGUAUAAUGAAAUUCUUACUUUGGGUCAGCUUCAAGCAUCUGAACUCAGGACAGCUGAGGCAACAGUCUUAUAACCUGUCUAAGCUUUGGCUACAAAAGAACAAAAUGCAAACAGAUGUACUGUGGAUCUAUAACUGCGAAGUUCUUUGGGAUGGCAUUCACUAAAGAAUUAACAUAGCAUAAAGUUUUAUUUAUAUGAUAUUUAUCUUUAAGCACCUUCCAUCUGUGCCCCAUACAAUUGGCUUGAAGAACUCAUAUUUAAGUAACAAAUGGAGUGCAGUUUAUAAUUUUAAUGCAAUUAAGAUUUCUGCCAAUUAAUUUACCUUUAUAAAUGGUUCAGAAA